ACCGCUUCCUCGCCGGAGGACAUGUUGUCGCCGCCGCGCCUCCUCCGCCACCGCUGCGCCGGGGAAGGAAGCCGCCGGCCCGAUGCGCGUCAGUCGCAGUAUAACAACCUGCGAGAGGAACCAAGAUCCAGCACUCAAGCACGCAGCACGGCCUUGCUCCAGAAGUUGUCUCCAUAAUCAGAUGUCUUCAAGAUUGAGUUUUAAAGCACUAGUCUUCAACAACGUCAUACCGAGACCACAUUGAGAAAUUUUUCAGCACCAUUAAGGUUUGAUAUGUAAGCUUGUAAGAAGCUAGAUACGUAGGAAGUUCGCUGUUUCUGUUUUGUUUUCAUGUGUCUUAUUUAGCCAUGAGCCUUUCUUGCUUGAAAUAAAAUACUUUUUAUAUUUCCGUAGAAAA